rnacentral:lncRNA from 1 species
UUCAAGCGAUUCUCCUGCCUCACCCUCCUGAGUAGCUGGGACUACAGGCCUGCGCCACCACACCUGGCUAACUUCUGAAUAUCAAGCUGAAAUUACUAUCAGAUAUCUUGCCACCACAUAGAGGCUUUGAGUGAAGUCUGCAUGGAGGAGAACAGAGCUGAGAGAUGGAAAGAUACUGAAUCCCAGUGACGUCCUUUGAGAUGUCGGAUCAAGCUGAGCUGGGCAUGAAGAUAGAGCUACUCCUAUACUUUUAAGAUACUCUACCACUCACAGAAACUACCUUUUAGUGCAACCACGGUGGAACCCUGCCAUAGUAUCUCUAGCAAUAACAAGCAAGAUUCAGAAGUCCAACAAGUAAGACAUUGAUUUCAUUAAGAGAGAACUAGUAAGCAAGCUAUUUGGGAAGUACACUCUCAUAAGAAUAUUGUUUCAUGAAGUCUUGAGCAACAAAGGAAAUAGUCCAUGAAGUGCACUGCUGUCAGACUCCCUCUAAGAAUACUUCAACUGCUCAUGAAGCGGGGGGCCUUAACUAUUUACUUCUUUUGGAAGCCUCCAUCUGGCCCAUCUAUCUUUAUUCUCCCAGGAUCACAGGCAGAACACCUGAGCCACAGUAUCAGAACUAGGGUUGGAAGCCUGCUUUUCCUGGAAUGAAACCCCUCACUCUUCAAGUGUCCAGGAGACAAGAGUCAUUGUGCAAGCCUAUCUCUAGAGAGGCUAACAGACUCUUUCUGGCUUUGAAAGAAACAAGCUGCCAUAUUGAAACAAGCUGCCAUAUUAUGUGUGAGCUGCCCUAAGGAAAGACACACAUGGUAAGGAAGAGAGGAUGACCUCUGGCUGAUAGGCAGCAAGAAACUAAGGACCUCAGUCUGAGAACCUGCAAGGAGCUGAAUUCUUCCAAUUACCAUGUGAGCUUGGAAGCAGCUCCUUCCCCAGUCAAGCCUCAGAUGAGACCCCAGCCCUGGCCAACACCUUGAUUGCAGCCUCUUAUGAAGAUUGUAGUCCCUAAGCAGAAAAUCCAGAUAACCUGUGCCCAGAUUGCUGAGCCACAGAAAUUCACUGAGAUAAUAAACGUGUGUUUCAAGCUGCUGAAUUUGUGGUAAUUUGUUGAAAACUAAUAGGUAACUAACAGAUAAUGUAUGCCCUGUUCUUUAAACAU